UGAGCAACCUACCGAUUUGAGGGGGAUAGCUGGCCUAACGGCCAGGUAAUACCGCAUACGCUCAUAAAGCCUCCUGGCUUAAUGAGGAAACCCUCCGGGGCAGAUCGAGGGGCUCGCGGCCUAUCAGCUAGUUGGUGAGGUCAUAGCUCACCAAGGCGACGACGGGUAGCUGGUCUGAGAGGAUGGCCAGCCACAGUUGGGACUGAGACUACGGCCCAGACCUCGUACGGGAA
rnacentral:rRNA from 1 species